UAGCGGAACUCCUACGGGAGGCAGCAGUGGGGAAUAUUGCACAAUGGGCGCAAGCCUGAUGCAGCCAUGCCGCGUGUGUGAAGAAGGCCUUCGGGUUGUAAAGCACUUUCAGCGGGGAGGAAGGCGUUAAGGUUAAUAACCUUGGCGAUUGACGUUACCCGCAGAAGAAGCACCGGCUAACUCCGUGCCAGCAGCCGCGGUAAUACGGAGGGUGCAAGCGUUAAUCGGAAUUACUGGGCGUAAAGCGCACGCAGGCGGUCUGUCAAGUCGGAUGUGAAAUCCCCGGGCUUAACCUGGGAACUGCAUUCGAAACUGGCAGGCUAGAGUCUUGUAGAGGGGGGUAGAAUUCCAGGUGUAGCGGUGAAAUGCGUAGAGAUCUGGAGGAAUACCGGUGGCGAAGGCGGCCCCCUGGACAAAGACUGACGCUCAGGUGCGAAAGCGUGGGGAGCAAACAGGAUUAGAUACCCUAGUAGUCCACUUAUG
rnacentral:rRNA from 1 species